GCCUUCGUGAUGUAGUGGUCGGCACGCUCGGCCCCUACUCGAGAGGUCCGUGGUUCGACUCCCGGCGAUGGCA
rnacentral:tRNA from 1 species